rnacentral:rRNA from 1 species
GUCCUUGAGUAGGGCGGGACACGUGAAAUCCUGUCUGAACAUGGGGAGACCACUCUCCAAGCCUAAGUACUCGUGCAUGACCGAUAGCGAACAAGUACCGUGAGGGAAAGGUGAAAAGCACCCCGACGAGGGGAGUGAAAUAGAACCUGAAACCGGAUGCCUACAAACAGUCGGAGCCCGCAAGGGUGACGGCGUACCUUUUGUAUAAUGGGUCAACGACUUAGUGUAACUAGCAAGCUUAAGCCGGUAGGUGUAGGCGCAGCGAAAGCGAGUCUGAAUAGGGCGAUUGAGUUAGUUGCAUUAGACCCGAAACCGAGUGAUCUAGCCAUGAGCAGGCUGAAGGUUGGGUAACACCAACUGGAGGGCCGAACCCAUAACUGUUGCAAUAGUUCGGGAUGACU